rnacentral:rRNA from 1 species
AAUGGGCGCAAGCCUGAUGCAGCAACGCCGCGUGUGGGACGAAGGCCUUCGGGUUGUAAACCUCUUUUAGCAGGGAAGAAGCGAAAGUGACGGUACCUGCAGAAAAAGCACCGGCUAACUACGUGCCAGCAGCCGCGGUAAUACGUAGGGUGCAAGCGUUGUCCGGAAUUAUUGGGCGUAAAGAGCUCGUAGGCGGUUUGUCGCGUCUGCUGUGAAAACUGGAAGCUCAACUUCCAGCCUGCAGUGGGUACGGGCAGACUAGAGUGCGGUAGGGGAGAACGGAAUUCCUGGUGUAGCGGUGGAAUGCGCAGAUAUCAGGAGGAACACCGAUGGCGAAGGCAGUUCUCUGGGCCGUUACUGACGCUGAGGAGCGAAAGCGUGGGGAGCGAACAGGAUU